rnacentral:lncRNA from 1 species
UGGGAGCAUGAGCCUAAAACUAAAGUCUAGGUAAGAGAAAGGCAUGAUAUAAUGCCUGAGCUACUGUUUAUCUUGUUCUUACAACACUGAGUUCUGGAGAUUUAUUUUGAAAACUUGCAAAACACAUGAUGAGUUCCUAGCAUGACAAAAUUCCUACCACAGCCAUACUUGCUAUAACAUCUUUUGCUACUUAUAUUCACAUUGAGUUUGAUCGAGCUGUGUAGACCUUUAGGAGCUUUUUAUGUGGUUAAAUUAAGAUAUUCACUUGCACACAUCUACUACACCAUCCACCACCAUUUAUUAAAAUUGCUAAAAAUAUUAUCACUCACAGUCCCAAGUGUUGUUAUUCUCUCUCUCCAAAAAAGAUUCAAUGCAGAAGAGGCAUGGGUUAUGCAAAAAUAUGCGAGGAAAUAAAAAGGGGCAAGUGCUCGGAACCUCGAAAAAGAAAGAAAAAAAGUGAGACGAGAGGUAAAAAUGGACAAGUGUCCGGAGUAGAAUUAGGGGCACAAAGAUGCCCACCUGAGCGGAAAAAAUGGACAAGUGUCCGACAGUAGAAUUAGGGGUAUUUACUACCCACCUGAAAAAAAAGAAGAUAGCCCAUGUUCUCCCAAAAGCAAAGAUCAAGAGAGGAGGAGAGAUAGCAAUAUGAGGAGCA